rnacentral:rRNA from 1 species
GACGAACGCUGGCGGCGUGCUUAACACAUGCAAGUCGAACGGAAAGGCCCUGCUUUUGUGGGGUGCUCGAGUGGCGAACGGGUGAGUAACACGUGAGUAACCUGCCCUUGACUUUGGGAUAACUUCAGGAAACUGGGGCUAUUACCGGAUAGGAUCUCCUGCUGCAUGGUGGGGGUUGGAAAGUUUCGGCGGUUGGGGAUGGACUCGCGGCUUAUCAGCUUGUUGGUGGGGUAGUGGCUUACCAAGGGUUAGACGGGUAGCCGGCCUGAGAGGGGGACCGGCCACAAUGGGACUGAGAUACGGACCAGACGCCUACGGGAGGCAGCAGUGGAGAAUAUUGCACAAUGGGCGGAAGCGUGAUGCGGCAACGCCGCGUGCGGGAUGCCGGCCUUCGGGUUGUAAACCGCUUUCGCCUGUGACGAAGCGUGAGUGACGGUAAUGGGUAAAGAAGCACCGGCUAACUACGUG